AGGAAUGGGAAGGGGUCCAUAGGCUGAGCCCUGGGUCAUCCAACUUUUACAGGAGCCAGGAGAUGAGCUUAUGGCCAGGGGAACAAGAGUUUCAAGGUGCACAGAGAUGAAAUUGGAGUGAAAGGGAGUCAGAAAGAAGUGGAGAAAUCCUGGGCAAUUUCCAGGAAAAGCAUCUGGUGUAUAAUCCAUUUAUUCAUUCAUUCGUCAUUCAAUCAUUUAAUAAAUAUUUCUUGAGGACCCAUGCUAGGCCAGAUACUCUGGGAUACAAGGGUGAGCAUGAUCAAGACAGCCCCCACCCACAGGGCACUUGCAUUCUGGCUGGGAUCCAGGUAGAUAAAAGGAUAGGUGCAUUGAUGUUGUAUGAACGGUAGGUAGUACAGAAAACAGAAACAACUGUAAGUGCUACAGGAGAAUUCAGCAUAGUUAGUUACACAGGUGCUGGAAGGAUGGAGAAAGACAGAUGGGGAGGAGGUGGUGUUAUGGAAACUAAGGGCUGGUGUCACACGGGGAGAGCUGGAACUGGAGCAGGCCAGGAGACACACAGCUGUUGGAGAGGCUGCCUGAGGAGGGGUGAGGGAGCAGGAGGGAGGGAAGACACAAGUACCCUGGCUUCUCCCUUCCUUUCACCCUCUAGUCUUCAAACUCUGCCUCCCACUGGUUGAACACAGCUAGAAUCCAGCCGACAUGGGAGCCUGCCGAGGUCAGCCCUCCCACCAUACAGCAGGGGAAGAGCUUGGAGCAGCUGGUGGCAAAAACGCUUAGGACCAUUGGAAAACAGUCUGGCAGUUUCUCUAAAAGUUGAGCAUAGAGUUAUACAACCCAGAAAUUCUACUUCUAGAUUUACACCCAAGAAAACUGAAAACAUAUGUCCACAUAAAAACUUGCACAUCAAUGUUCAAAUAGCAUUAUGCACGGUAGCCAAAAAGUGGAAGCAAAACAAACAUCCAACCAAUUGAUGAAUGGAUAAACAAAAGGUAGUGUAUCCAGCGAUGGAAUGUUAUUCAGCAAUAAAAAAGAAUAAAGUUCUGAUACACACUGCAGCGUGGAUGAACUUUGAAAACAUUAUGCAGAGUGAAAUAAGCCGGUCACCAAAAAGCACAUAUUACAUGAUUCCAUUUAGAUGAAGUGUCCAGAAUAGGCAAAUCCAUAGAGACGGAAAGUCGAUCAGUGGUUGUCCAGAGUUGGCAGUGGGGAGAGGAGCGACUGCUAAUGGGUUCAGGAUUUUUUGGAGGGUAUGUAAUGGAAAUGUUUGAAAAGUGCCUGUGGUGAUGGUUGCACAACUCUAUGAACAUACUAAAAACUAUUGAAUUGUGCGCUUUAAGUAGGUGAACUAUAGGGUAUGUGAAUUAUAUUUCAUUAAGGCUGUUAUUUGAAAGGUAGGGGGCUCAGACACGCAUGGAUGCCAUGAGAGCAGAAGCUUCUUACAGAAAGAUAAGUUAUAGCUGAGAUCACACUUGGGGAGGAGCCAGAGUUGGGAUACAGCUCAGCCUGUUUCUGGAGCCCACACUUGUAACCGUGGGGCAAGCUUGCACCCCAGGAAGUAGCAGGCAGCCAGGCUGGCAUUUGCAGGUAAGUAGCCAUAACGAGGGAGGGCCAGGAGAGACGCAUCUGUGCAGAGGGAGCUGCACAUGCGGAAGCCCAUCACUGGGUCUGGGGAAAUGACAGAAGUUCCAUGCCUGGGGCAGAGGGUUCACAGUGGGGAAAUUAGCAUGAAGGAGGCUGCAGCAGAAACAGGGUCUGCGUUGGCCUCCAUAGGGAGUUAGAAUUUAAGAGCAGAGAAGGGCUGUCAAUGAGUUUUCUCAAAGGUCAGGUGGCUGGGAAGGCAGGAGGGAGCCCACGCAGGUGAUUCAUUUUCUCUUUCACAUCAAUUCUCAGUCUGAUGGGAGCAGAGGCUGCGUUCAGGUGGUUUUGGCCAAAAGUAUGGAAGCAGAAUGCAUGUUCUGCGUAAGUUC
ensembl:lncRNA